rnacentral:rRNA from 1 species
AUCCAGACUCCUACGGGAGGCAGCAGUGAGGAAUAUUGGUCAAUGGGCGGGAGCCUGAACCAGCCAAGCCGCGUGAAGGAAGAAGGCGCCAAGCGUCGUAAACUUCUUUUGUCGGGGAACAAAGGGCGCCACGUGUGGCGUUGUGAGUGUACCCGAAGAAAAAGCAUCGGCUAACUCCGUGCCAGCAGCCGCGGUAAUACGGAGGAUGCGAGCGUUAUCCGGAUUUAUUGGGUUUAAAGGGUGCGUAGGCUGUGAGGUAAGUCAGCGGUGAAAUGCCCCCGCUCAACGGGGUGAAGUGCCAUUGAUACUGCCUUGCUGGAAUGCGGAUGCCGUGGGAGGAAUGUGUGGUGUAGCGGUGAAAUGCAUAGAUAUCACACAGAACACCGAUUGCGAAGGCAUCUCACGAAUCCGCGAUUGACGCUGAUGCACGAAAGCGUGGGUAUCAAACAGGAUUAGAUACCCGGGUAAG